UCAUAUGUGGGAAAAAAAAUCGGUGAAAGAUAUGAAGAGACUCUCAAUGUGCAUUAACACUCCUAGAUCGUUCAUUUGAUGAGCAAUGUCCAAAUUCAAGACCUAAAAUAAGGAGCAUCAUCUACGAGUAGAAUAAACGACUCGGUACUGAGGUAUAAUAUCUAUACAUUCUUCUUAACAAAAACCAGCUUCUACUGGAUUAGGACAUACACUACUAAGAAUUCUAUUGUACAAGAUCUGAAUUUGUGUGGGAUACUUGAAGAAAUAGCGAGGCGUGGAAUGUCAUUCGAUGAAUUACUCACCAUCCCUGAACAGGAUGAAUGGGUUUAUAGUGACGGGAAAUCAACAGCAUGUGUUGCUUUCAUCCUUGCAAUGUACAAAGCCGCUGGUGUAUUCGGCCCUCUCGCUAAUCACAUUCAAGUCACUGAAUUCACUAUCCGAGAUGCGUACACUCCGAAGUUAUUUGAGUCUAACCAGACUCGGCUACCGAGUUGGUGCAACACAGAGGAAGAGAAGCUUGACUUCUGUCAGAUUCUAGGUGAAUACAGAAUGGAGUUGUUUUGUUGUUUGUAGCAAAGCAAUUGGGUUCAAAGUAAUUGUGAUGAUGGAUACACAUUAAUUCCAAAUACGCUUUUUUGUUUUUUUUGUUACAUAACAACAUUCAUAUCGAUUUUAUUUAUAAUGG